UCGGUAGCUCAGUCGGUAGAGCAGAGGACUGAAAAUCCUCGUGUCGGCGGUUCGAUUCCGUNGUUGAU
rnacentral:tRNA from 1 species